UGUCUUCCCUCUUGUGUUUGUCUUUUCAUUGCUUCUGUCUGCAUCUGCUCCUGCUAGUCUUGUGUUCCUCCCGUUUCUCCUCGUGUACCUCCAGUCUUCAAUUUGUCUCCAAUUUGCUUUUUGCCAUCUUCUACUCUCUCUCCACUUGAAUGAGCUGAAAGUUCUUGUCCUGCCACGUGCAAGAUGUGUUGACUACCCUGCCACAUGCAAGAGCUUCCUGGUGCAUCACCGGUCCAGCCAGACCAAAGAGGGGUCCAUCCAGCUACUGUGCCAAAAUGUCGAGAGUCUGAUGGCAGCUGCUAUGGCUCUCACGUUGAUACCUUAAUGAUGCUCCACACAUUACUCUGGAAAGAUGAGAGCUUCCCCUGAUGAUGAAUUCCUGUCUGUAAAAACGAGAACAAAGGAGUGUUGAUAGCCAGCCAAGUGUGAGUGGUGAAAAUUGAGUGACUGCAGCAACAACAAACAAAGGAAAAGUUCAGAUUUCAGUUGCAGUUUCCAUUAACAAGAGCCUUUACCAGUCGGCUUCCUUUGUUACAGCCUGCUAAUCAAUGACAUCCUUGAAAACUCUAUCUCGGUGCUGUGAUUGCUUGCAGACACGCUGGUGUCUUCCUCUGAAUACUCAUCAGCUCCGGGCUUUCACAGCUCGCAUUUUUCUCUGUACGCAUCCCCCUGCACCAUGCCGUCACAGGGACUAUGUCUUAUGCUGUCAUGCCACCAAGACAACACCGUAAAGAAAAUAAAAUGAAUAAGAAACGGAA